UACGUAGGGAGCAAGCGUUAUCCGGAUUUACUGGGUGUAAAGGGCGCGCAGGCGGGCCGGCAAGUUGGAAGUGAAAUCUAUGGGCUUAACCCAUAAACUGCUUUCAAAACUGCUGGUCUUGAGUGAUGGAGAGGCAAGCGGAAUUCCGUGUGUAGCGGUGAAAUGCGUAGAUAUACGGAGGAACACCAGUGGCGAAGGCGGCUUGCUGGACAUUAACUGACGCUGAGGCGCGAAAGCGUGGGGAGCAAACAGG
rnacentral:rRNA from 1 species